GAAAAACACGUAAUGCUGCGUUGUGCGUAACGCGUAAUACAAUAGACCGGGAUGCGUUGAUCGUAAGUCGAUGUUGUGUAAUCGACAAUCCGAUGCAGUCAUUUUGCGAUUCCCAUGCGAUGAUGCAUCUCGCUUUAAGCUUGUUACGCAACGAGUAUGACACGAAUUACUUGUAUAAUUCGAUCGUAUCAUCGAGAUCCAAAUAUAAACAUUUUUAUCUACUGUCA